rnacentral:rRNA from 1 species
UACGGGAGGCAGCAGUGGGGAAUUUUGGACAAUGGGCGCAAGCCUGAUCCAGCAAUGCCGCGUGCAGGAUGAAGGCCUUCGGGUUGUAAACUGCUUUUGUACGGAACGAAAAAGUCUGCCCUAAUACGGUGGGCCCAUGACGGUACCGUAAGAAUAAGCACCGGCUAACUACGUGCCAGCAGCCGCGGUAAUACGUAGGGUGCGAGCGUUAAUCGGAAUUACUGGGCGUAAAGCGUGCGCAGGCGGUUAUAUAAGUCAGAUGUGAAAUCCCCGGGCUCAACCUGGGACCUGCAUUUGAGACUGUAUAGCUAGAGUACGGUAGAGGGGGAUGGAAUUCCGCGUGUAGCAGUGAAAUGCGUAGAUAUGCGGAGGAACACCGAUGGCGAAGGCAAUCCCCUGGACCUGUACUGACGCUCAUGCACGAAAGCGUGGGGAGCAAACAGGAUUAGAUACCCUGGUAGUCCACGCCCUAAACGAUGUCAACUGGUUGU